UGGGGAAUAUUGGACAAUGGGCGAAAGCCUGAUCCAGCAAUGCCGCGUGUGUGAAGAAGGCCUUAGGGUUGUAAAGCACUAGCAAUGGGGAAGAAGUUAUUGUAGCUAAUACCUGCAGUGAUUGACGUUACCCAAAUAAGAAGCACCGGCUAACUCUGUGCCAGCAGCCGCGGUAAUACAGAGGGUGCAAGCGUUAAUCGGAAUUACUGGGCGUAAAGAGUGCGAAGGUUGAAUAUUAAGUCAGAUGUGAAAACCCAGGGCUUAACCUUGGAAUUGCAUCUGAUACUGAUAAUCUAGAGUAUGGUAGAGGAUAGUGGAAUUUCCGGUGUAGCGGUGAAAUGCGUAGAUAUCGGAAGGAACACCAGUGGCGAAGGCGACUAUCUGGGCCGAUACUGACACU
rnacentral:rRNA from 1 species